CAUGGAUCUAGUGCCAUUUCCUCAACCUUAGAAUCAUCUCACUUGUUUGGUUCGGUGGGUCGGGAACUCAUUGAGGGUUCUUCACUAUCAAGAUCUUCAUCCAUGACAUUGCUUGAUAUCUUUCCCUUAUUCUCCUUAUUUUGAAGAUUAGUUGUAUCCAUGGUACUUGAAAGUCGGCGCUCUCACGCACUUCUUAUUCUUUUUCACUCUCCUUUCCAAAUACAUCCAUGGAUAUGCAAGUCAUGCACAUCCUCCUCCAAUGUAGUUACCCGAUGCAAAUGAGUUUGGAGCAUUGCGUGAAAACUAUUGUACCCAACAUAUUGCUCAUUCUUUAUAGAAUCAUGAAACCUAUAAAACUCAUUAAAAGAACAAGAAUGUGGGUUAGCAUAACAGGGGGAGGGGGCAUUUGUACAAUCACUCCAGUGUCCAUUUUGACCACCACACAAAGAACAAUCAUAAGGCCAAUAUGAUCGAGAUGGUGCACAUAUCUCUUCUCGAGGAUCAUAUCUAUAAUCUCUCCAAAAGUGUAGUCCUUCACAUUAGGUACAUGGAUCACCAAGAUAUGAUUUCCAAUCACCAAACUCACAUUCAUUCUAAGAUGCCAUAGUGAGAAGUAGAUGAAAA
rnacentral:lncRNA from 1 species